rnacentral:rRNA from 1 species
CCUACGGGGGGCAGCAGUGGGGAAUUUUGGACAAUGGGGGCAACCCUGAUCCAGCCAUGCCGCGUGAGUGAAGAAGGCCUUCGGGUUGUAAAGCUCUUUCGGCCGGAACGAAACGGUCGCGGCUAAUACCUGCGUCUAAUGACGGUACCGGAAGAAGAAGCACCGGCUAACUACGUGCCAGCAGCCGCGGUAAUACGUAGGGUGCGAGCGUUAAUCGGAAUUACUGGGCGUAAAGCGUGCGCAGGCGGUUUUGUAAGACAGAUGUGAAAUCCCCGGGCUUAACCUGGGAACUGCGUUUGUGACUGCAAGGCUAGAGUGCGGCAGAGGGGGGUGGAAUUCCACGUGUAGCAGUGAAAUGCGUAGAGAUGUGGAGGAACACCGAUGGCGAAGGCAGCCCCCUGGGCUAACACUGACGCUCAUGCACGAAAGCGUGGGGAGCAAACAGGAUUAGAUACCCUUGUAGUC